rnacentral:rRNA from 1 species
GAGUCAAAAAGACCGCGAAACCGUUAGGAGGGAAACGAAUGCAGCUGAAGUGGCUCCGUAUCAGGUUCAGGGGAUGUCGGUGGACGUUCCGGUUUCGGACAGCUCGCGCGUCCUUGGUCGGAGAGGCCGUCGACUUCCUUGCACUCCUGUUGGGAGCCGGCCAACAGCAGUUGCUUCUGGCCCAGAAGGUCGGUCGGGAGGUACCUCUGCACUCGUGCAGGGAACGUAUAGCCGUCCGGUUCGGCGGUCCGGGAGCGACUGAGGAGAGUCGUGAACUUUCACGCGUGCAGCGCAGGCCCUUCGGGGCCGGGUCGCCUCUGUUCGUUUGGGCCCCGCGGUUGGGACUGCUUGCAGUGUCUGCCGACGGUCAGCCUGCUCGGUCGGGGGAGUGGCCACGCCUUGCGCUCUAGUUGUUGGUGCUCAAAUGGCUGCAUC